CGUUCUCAGUUCGGAUCGGAGUCUGCAACCCGACUCCGUGAAGCUGGAUUCGCUAGUAAUCGCGCAUCAGCCAUGGCGCGGUGAAUACGUUCCCGGGCCUUGUACACACCGCCCGUCAAGCCAUGGGAGCCGGGGGUGCUUGAAGUGCGUCGCCGCAAGGCGCGCCCUAGAGCAAAACCGGUGACUGGGGCUAAGUCGUAACAAGGUAGC
rnacentral:rRNA from 1 species